UGACCUUACACUACUAAUAUGGUUAUUUUUCAAGAAUUUUUCAUUUUUAAAUUUUAACCAUUUCAUUAGUUCUCGAGCAUUAACCACAAAAUGUUUGGAAAAUUUGGUGUUUCUAUCGUAGCCAUUUUGAAAUAAUUGAUGUGCCUGACAAACGCGUUUUGAAGAAAUCCUUUAUUCAGUCGAACUUAAUCGAGUUCUUCAUUAAAUCGGUCCUAGUAUUGAAAGAACACAUCGAAUGUAUUGGUAAUGACAAAAGACACCGAUAAGACGAUCGCUUUUGAAAUAUCAAAAUGGAACACCAGAAUCAUCAUCAAGUUGAAGGAGCCGCUUGCUACCGGUUCAUCUUCUUCAGCCACAGCCCACAGCGAACGAAAGUUGGAAAAGCAUCGACCUCGCACCAUCUGGCAGCGGUCCUCGCACAAUUUGGAAACAUUAUCACGAAACAGAUAACCCGGAUCACACUCCCGAAUUUCUAUCAUUGCGAGAUACUCGACCGUUUUUUCACCAUCCUGAUGGAGCUGGAACGGGCUGGAUUGCUUGGAAAACAUCACCCGCCGGUCAUAAAUUAACCACUCAACCCCUCGUGAACGAACAGUCUGGCGACAGUGAUAUUUUGGUCGUCUUGGGAUCUACAAAAUGUCACCAAAGUAUACGGGUAUGAAAUCACCACUUCCGGCGGUGUCCGGCACCGAAGUUAUGUUAGUUUUUCAUUUUAAUUCGGUAGGGAUCGUGGGGAGAAAUCACUUUUGUUGCUUUUAAAGCUACCGGAUAUUUCGGCCUUGGCUUAGGCCUUAUGCUAGGUUGCAGUUCUUAUAAUUUUCCUGGUUCCGCUCAAUU